CCCUAUGGGGUGCAGCAGGCGGUUUUCGUCGAUUUCGGUGUCCGAAAGCAACUCCUGAAUUCGGUCCCGUAUCUUUUGCUGAUACUCCAGAACGACCAGGUCCUUGCGGCUUUCGAUCAGGGCGAGAUCGCGGGCCAGGACUUCGAGGCGUUCCAGGCAGUCUUUGCGCAAGGAUUCGCCUUCCACCUGCCGCAUGGAUCGGACCCGUUCCAGGGCUUCCGACAAUGCGCCCGUGGGCAGUUCCCGGAUGAGCUCCCGGUCGGGAUCGUCCUCGCGGGCUUCGAACAGGUACGGUACACGGAGCAGGCUGUCGAGCAUCGGGGGCGCGCUGGUCGGGAGCGACCGGUGCAAUUCCAUCAAUUGUUCCCAGUAGUGACGCGCCAAAGACAGGUUGAGGCGGGGGGGC
rnacentral:rRNA from 1 species